GUCUCUGUGGCGCAAUCAGUUUGUUGUGGUUAGCGCGUUAGACUGUUAAUCUAAAGGUUGGUGGUUCGAGCCCACCCAGGGACG